CCCUUCUUUACCAAAAGCGCCAUGCUAAAAUCAGCAGGCCCGAGCUGUUUCACAGUUUGGUCUUGCUGGUCAUGCUAGUAUGGUACGUCUCGGAGAAGGGAGAGCAAAAUCCCAGCGCAGCGUCGGAAAUGAGAUCAGGAGGGACCUCUUUCUUAAUGUCCUGUGUUCUGUGUCUCGAGAUUCUGCGCUACAUUU